rnacentral:sRNA from 1 species
AGAAACCUCGCAUAGCGGGCGGCCGUCA